AACGAACGCUGGCGGCAUGCCUAACACAUGCAAGUCGAACGAGACCUUCGGGUCUAGUGGCGCACGGGUGCGUAACGCGUGGGAACCUGCCCUUAGGUUCGGAAUAACUCCCCGAAAGGGGUGCUAAUACCGGAUAAUGUCUUCGGACCAAAGAUUUAUCGCCUUUGGAUGGGCCCGCGUUGGAUUAGCUAGUUGGUAGGGUAAAAGCCUACCAAGGCGACGAUCCAUAGCUGGUCUGAGAGGAUGAUCAGCCACACUGGGACUGAGACACGGCCCAGACUCCUACGGGAGGCGGCGGGGGGAAAAUUUGGAAAAGGGGCGAAAGCCUGUCCCAGCAAUGCCGGGGGAGUGAUGAAGGCCUUAGGGUUGUAAAGCUUUUUUCCCCGGGAGGAAAAGGACAGUACCGGGAGAAGAAGCCCCGGCUAACCCCGU
rnacentral:rRNA from 1 species